ACUACGGGAGGCAGCAGUGGGGAAUAUUGGGCAAUGGGCGCAAGUCUGACCCAGCAACGCCGCGUGAAGGAAGAAGGCUUUCGGGUUGUAAACUUCUUUUCUCAGGGACGAAGCAAGUGACGGUACCUGAGGAAUAAGCCACGGCUAACUACGUGCCAGCAGCCGCGGUAAUACGUAGGUGGCAAGCGUUAUCCGGAUUUACUGGGGGUAAAGGGCGUGUAGGGGGGAAAGCAAGUCAGUAGUGAAAACCAUGGGCUCAACCUGUGGACUGCAUCUGAAACUGUUUUUCUUGAGUACUGGAGAGGCAGACGGAAUUCCUAGUGUAGCGGUGAAAUGCGUAGAUAUUAGGAGGAACACCAGUGGCGAAGGCGAUCUGCUGGACAGCAACUGACGCUGAGGCGCGAAAGCGUGGGGAGCAAACAGGAUUAGAUACCCGAGUAGUC
rnacentral:rRNA from 1 species